rnacentral:lncRNA from 1 species
AGAGUUCAUUGUGGAGCCCCAAGACCAGCUCUGUUGUUGCAGGUUUUGUAGCAUCAGAGCAGGAUGAUUAAGCAAGAAUGGAACUGCUUUAAGAAACAUCCUGUGGCUGCCUAAAGCUGAAAUGACACACAAAUCUAACGUGAUAUAUUAAGUCAUGUCACUGUAUGUGGUUCUGUCUGUUGACUGUGAGGAGAGGAGUAAAUUCUGGCAGGAGUACAGGAGGAACUGCUGAGAAAGGGUCAUAUGGUAAAUUAUUGCAGCAUUUGCCUCAAGAUCAUCACUUCCAUUUUGGGCUGUCUGUUCCAGCGUUGGACAGGUCCUUGGAGUGCCUCCACUCCUUCAUUUGCUUUGAUAGUCCAGUAAAAGAUAAGACCAGUCACGCUUUCCAGAGAUCAAAGAAACUGAGGAUUUCAGCAGAGAAGAUGCAGAAGUACAGGACACAGCUGCUGCAGUGCUUGGUAUGUGCCCCCAGGUGUGUCAGCUCUCUGCCUGGUGAGCAGUGAGGUGGCACCUGCAUGCUCUCACUCCAACAGGAGGACACAGGGUGGUGGUAGAGGUUACACAGGCUCAUUAUCAGCGUUGCAGCACAGUAUAAGAGGAAGGAGUCCAUACAUUUUCACUUCAAAUUGAAUGUUUCUUGUCUGUGCUAAGAUUUACUUGGGGGUUUUAUGAGUACUGGGGAUAAGAUUUUUCUCUGAGGGUGACAGAGGUUUUUGACAGGUGAAGAGUGUGUGGGAAUGGUAUUAUUCAUGACAAAAUAACAGAAGCUAAUGCCAGAUAAGUCGUGUGUGGACAAGCUAUGCAUGUCUGAAAGCCCAUUGCCUCCUCUAUUGCAUUACUUUUAUCACACUACAAACAAAACAAUAAUAUAAAAUUUGUAAUUCAUAAGCCUCUCAUAAAUGAAGCAAUUUUAAUACAUACUGCCUAUAGCUGAGAUUAUAUAUGCAGUGCAGUUUUGCAAGUUGGUUCAUGUUAUCUUUUUCCUCCAUAUACACAUCUAAGUUCUUUGUUAAGAUAUUACAUAGAAUUUAAGAUCUGCAAGAAGAAAUCUGCUUACAGUCACUUCCAUGCAAUCAGAAGGUAUGUAUUUGUUACAUUAAGAACUUGUGAAAGAAGAAAGUAACCUGCACCUCCAUUUUCUUUUUGAAGUUUUGCUUAAUCUUGCAGUAAGACAGGUCCCACUUGCAUUGAUACUGUAAAAACACAAAGGAUAUCUAGAUGCAUUUUCCAAUUUUUUUAAGGCUUCUUAGUUUUUUAGUAUUUGGAGAGAUUUUAGCCUUUUAUAACAGUUACAUGUGUUGAAUCUUAUUGAGGGAGCUUUCUUUGGGAGUUUUAAAUAAUUAUUAAUAUGCUCUUUUGAUAAAUUAGUUUGGAAGAAAAUAGUCUUAAUCAGAUAAUGAAGUGCUUGAUACCUUUCUCUGACAUACAUCUAUUAGCUGUAUUAACUUGUCAAGUUACAGUGAAAGAGAAUAUAAAAGCCAAAGAGAUUGUGACUUUUUAAUG